AAUAAGUACAGUCGUGAGUAUCCGUGUCUAACAUUUAACCGUCCAUCUUAUUUUAAAAAUUUAUUAAAAAAUUAAAAAUAAUUAGUCACAUAUAAAUUUAUAUUCAUGUUUUAUCGUCUAAUAAUAAUAAUAAUAAUAAUUAUAAAAAAAUUAAAUAAGACGAACGAUCAAACGUUGAACAUGAACGGUCUAAAACUACACUUAUU
rnacentral:pre_miRNA from 1 species